UACUAAAUGAGUUUGAUCCUGGCUCAGGAAAAACGCAAGAGACGUGCCUAACACAUGCAAAUUUAAUGGUUAAUAAAUUUAACCAUAGUGAAUUGGUGAGUAAAAUAUGAAAAUUUAAUUUUAGAUUAGAAGUAUUUCUAAUAACUUAGAAGUAAUCUCUGAUAAGUGCAUAUAUAUGUUACUUUUAAAAAGUUAAUACUGUCUAAAAAAAAGUUCAUACCUGAUUAGCUAGUUAGUAAUAUAAAAAUUUACUAAGGCGAAGAUCAGUAGCUGCCCUGAGAGGGGAACCAGCCACAUUGGGAUUGAAAUACAGCCCAAACUUCUACGGGAGGCUGCAGUGGGGAAUCUUCUGCAAUGAGCGCAAGCUUGACAGAGCGUCGUCACGUGAAGGAAGACAGCUUAUUUUUUAGUUGUAAACUUCUUUUACUUAAAAGUGAAUAUUGACACUUAAGUAAAUAAAGUAUCGGCAAACUCCGUGCCAGCAGCCGCGGUAAAACGGGGGAUACAAGCGUUAUCCGGAAUUACUGGGCGUAAAGCGUAUGUAGGUGGUUUUAAUAUAUUUUUAUAUAAAAAAAACUUAAUAUUUGUUUUUAGUAAAAAAAUUAUUAAACUAGAGUCUGUUAGGGGUAAAAGGAAUUUUUUGAGGAGUAGUGAAAUGCAAAGAUACAAAAAAGAAGACCAAAAGCGAAAGCAUUUUACUAGGACAGUUUAAUUUAUUUAACUGACACUGAGAUACGAAAGUUAAGGUAGCGAAUGGGAUUAGAUACCCCAGUAGUCUUAACUGUAAACGAUGGGUACUCGGAAUAAUAUAUAAAUAAUAUUUUAUUCCUUAGCUAACGCGUUAAGUAUCCCGCCUGAGUAGUACGCUCGCAAGAGUGAAACUUAAAGGAAUUGACGGGGGCUCGCACAAGCGGUGGAGCAUGUGGUUUAAUUCGAUGUAACGCGAAGAACCUUACCAGAGCUUGAAAUAAUAUAGGUUUUUAAAAAUUUAAUAAAUUUUUAUUAAUAUAACCAUAUACAGGUGGUGCAUGGCUGUCGUCAGCUCGUGUCGUGAGAUGUUGGGUUAAGUCCCGCAACGAGCGUAUCCCUUAUUUAAAGUUAAAUAUGUUUAAAAACUGCCUAUAUUUUUUAUAUAAAAUAAGGAGGAAGGAAUGGAA
rnacentral:ncRNA from 1 species